GGAUGUGAGGGCAAUCCAGCUGCAACAUCUGUCAUUGUACUGAUUGCCAGGGUUGAUUCGGCUGAUCUGGCUGGCCAGGCAGAGUCCCCUUCCUCCCUCAGCAUUCCAUGUGUGUACUUCCUGAAGCUGUGCAGUCAGUCCAAGAGGACAACCACUCCCAAUAGAGAGGACCGUUCCUCAGUCAAGGGUAUAGGAGUAGCUGUGCUCCCCUGCUAGAAUCUCCAAGCAAGCUCUCAAGACCAUACCUAGAAAAAAGUGAGAUUUCCAACUAUCUGGUUAAUUCAGUCCCCCUACCUAACCAGUGUAGAC
rnacentral:snRNA from 1 species